UACGUAGGGUGCAAGCGUUAAUCGGAAUUACUGGGCGUAAAGCGUGCGCAGGCGGUUCGCUAAGACAGAUGUGAAAUCCCCGGGCUUAACCUGGGAACUGCAUUUGUGACUGGCGGGCUAGAGUCCGGAAGAGGCGAGCGGAACUCCUGGUGUAGCGGUGGAAUGCGCAGAUAUCAGGAAGAACACCAACGGCGAAGGCAGCUCGCUAGGACGGAACUGACGCUGAGGCGCGAAAGCGUGGGGAGCAAACAGG
rnacentral:rRNA from 1 species